AGCAGCCGCGGUAAUUCCAGCUCCAAUAGCGUAUAUUAAAGUUGUUGCAGUUAAAAAGCUCGUAGUUGAAUUUCGGGAUCAGUUGAUCGGUCGUGCCUCGGUACGUACUGGUCAAAUUGAUUCCUACCUUCUGACGAACCACGAUGUCAUUAAUUUGGUGUCGCGGGAAAUCAGGACUGUUACUUUGAAAAAAUUAGAGUGUUUAAAGCAGGCUCGCGCUUGAAUACAUUAGCAUGGAAUAAUGAAAUAGGACGUUUGAUUCUAUUUUGUUGGUUUCUAGGAUCGACGUAAUGAUUAAUAGGGAUAGUUGGGGGCAUUAGUAUUCAAUUGUCAGAGGUGAAAUUCUUGGAUUUAUUGAAGACUAACUACUGCGAAAGCAUUUGCCAAGGAUGUUUUCAUUAAUCAAGAACGAAAGUUAGGGGAUCGAAGACGAUCAGAUACCGUCGUAGUCUUAACCAUAAACUAUGCCGACUAGGGAUCGGAUGAUGUUAAUUUUUUCAAUGACUCAUUCGGCGCCUUA
rnacentral:rRNA from 1 species